CUCCUUGCUGGUUGGCGAAGCUGACCUCCAAGGGCGGUGCCCGGUCAUGGACAGUUUGCUGUUGGGAUUGGCUAGAAAGGUAGUUCCGCUGAGGCGUGGUAGGAAGUGGUGGCCGUCAAUCACGCGGGACUCCAAACACUGAGCCCUGAGCUGGAGAACAGCGUUUACCGGCGGGGCGGCCGGUUUUGUGAACAAAGCUAUGGCUACAGAUUCCCCCAGAAGACCCAGUCGCUGUACUGGUGGAGUUGUGGUUCGCCCCCAGGCUGUCACGGAGCAGUCUUACAUGGAAAGUGUUGUGACUUUUCUACAGGAUGUUGUGCCCCAGGCUUACAGUGGAACACCUCUAACAGAAGAAAAGGAGAAAAUAGUGUGGGUCAGAUUUGAAAAUGCAGAUUUAAAUGAUACAUCAAGAAAUCUGGAAUUUCAUGAAAUACAUAGUACUGGGAAUGAGCCCCCUUUGCUGAUUAUGAUUGGUUACAGUGACGGAAUGCAGGUCUGGAGUAUCCCUAUCAGUGGAGAAGCACAGGAGCUCUUUUCUGUUCGACAUGGCCCAACUCGAGCAGCUAGAAUCUUGCCUGCUCCACAGUUUGGUGCUCAAAAGUGUGACAACUUUGCUGAAAAAAGGCCCCUCCUUGGUGUUUGUAAGAGCACUGGAUCUUCUGGCACAAGUCCCCCUUACUGUUGUGUGGAUCUAUAUUCACUUCGUACUGGGGAGAUGGUCAAGUCCAUUCAAUUUAAAACACCUAUCUAUGAUCUCCAUUGCAACAAGCGGAUCCUCGUAGUAGUUUUGCAGGAGAAAAUUGCUGCCUUUGACAGCUGUACUUUCACAAAAAAAUUUUUUGUCACAAGCUGCUAUCCUUGUCCAGGGCCUAACAUGAAUCCCAUUGCUCUUGGGAGCCGCUGGCUUGCUUAUGCAGAAAACAAGUUGAUUCGAUGUCAUCAGUCCCGUGGUGGAGCCUGUGGAGACAACAUUCAGUCUUAUACCGCCACAGUCAUUAGUGCUGCUAAAACAUUGAAAACUGGCCUGACAAUGGUUGGGAAAGUGGUGACUCAGCUGACAGGCACGCUGCCUUCAGGUGUGACAGAAGAUGAUGUUGCCAUCCAUAGUAAUUCAAGGCGGAGUCCUUUAGUCCCAGGCAUCAUCACAGUAAUCGACACUGAAACAGUUGGAGAGGGUCAGGUGCUUCUGAGUGAGGAUUCUGACAGUGAUGGUAUUGUGGCCCACUUCCCUGCUCAUGAAAAACCAGUGUGCUGUAUGGCUUUUAAUACAAGUGGAAUGCUUCUAGUCACAACAGACACCCUUGGUCAUGACUUUCAUGUCUUCCAAAUUUUGACUCAUCCUUGGUCCUCAUCACAGAGUGCUGUCCAUCAUCUGUAUACUCUUCACAGGGGAGAAACUGAAGCCAAAGUACAAGACAUCUGCUUCAGCCAUGACUGUCGCUGGGUUGUGGUCAGCACGCUCCGUGGCACUUCCCAUGUUUUCCCCAUCAACCCUUAUGGUGGCCAGCCCUGUGUUCGAACACACAUGUCACCACGGGUCGUGAAUCGUAUGAGUCGUUUUCAGAAAAGUGCUGGGCUGGAAGAGAUUGAACAAGAACUGACGUCUAAGCAGGGAGGUCGCUGUAGCCCUGUUCCAGGUCUAUCAAGCAGCCCUUCUGGAUCACCUCUCCAUGGGAAACUAAACAGCCAAGACUCCUACAAUAAUUUUGCCAACAACAAUCCUGGCAACCCUCGUCUCUCCCCCCUGCCCAGCUUGGUGGUAUUGAUGCCUCUUGCCCAAAUCAAGCAGCCAAUGACAUUGGGGACCAUCACCAAAAGAACAGGGCCUUAUCUGUUUGGAGCGGGGUGUUUUUCCAUAAAAGCUCCAUGCAAAGUUAAACCACCUCCACAAAUUUCACCCAGCAAAUCAAUGGGCGGAGAAUUUUGCGUGGCUGCAAUGUUUGGGACAUCCAGAUCAUGGUUUGCAAAUAAUGCAGGUCUGAAAAGAGAAAAAGAUCAGUCCAAACAAGUUGUAGUUGAAUCUCUCUACAUUAUUAGCUGCUAUGGGACCUUGGUAGAGCACAUGGUGGAACCACGGCCGCUCAGCACCGCCCUCAAGAUCAGUGAUGACACCCCACUGGAAAUGAUGACAUCACCUCGAGCCAGCUGGACUCUGGUUCGAACUCCUCAAUGGAAUGAAUUGCAACCACCAUUUAAUGCAAACCACCCUCUGCUCCUUGCUGCAGAUGCAGUGCAGUAUUAUCAGUUUCUGCUUGCUGGCCCGGCCCCCGCCGGGAGCCCAGGGCCCGCGGCCCGGCGCGGCUCCUGUGACAGUUCAGCCUCCGAACACAGUGGACAGCAAGAUGAAGAAUGGCUUUCUCAGGUAGAAAUUGUAACGCACACUGGACCCCACAGACGUCUGUGGAUGGGUCCACAGUUCCAGUUCAAAACCAUCCACCCCUCAGGCCAGACCACAGUUAUAUCAUCCAGUUCAUCUGUGCUGCAGUCUCAUGGUCCAAGUGAUACUCCACAGCCCCUUUUGGAUUUUGAUACAGAUGAUCUUGAUCUCAAUAGUCUCAGGAUCCAGCCAGUCCGCUCCGACCCAGUCAGCAUGCCAGGGUCAUCCCGGCCAAUCUCUGACCGAAGGGGAAUUUCCACCAUGAUUGAUGCUGUCUCAGGUGCCUUCGACCGGAGCGUGACCCUUCUGGAGGUGUGCGGGAGCUGGCCAGAGGGCUUCGGGCUGCGGCACAUGUCCUCCAUGGAGCACACGGAGGAGGGCCUGCGGGAGCGGCUCGCUGAUGCCAUGGCCGAGUCACCAAGCCGGGACGUUGUGGGACCCGGAACAGGUAAAGACACAGCCCUUGAUGUAGCAGUAAAAAACAUCACCCCUGAGAGACACAUGGCUGUGAAGUGUGUUGCAUUCCAGCAUGCUCACUGCCCCUCAUCCUGCCCCUGCCCAGCUCAUCAGGAAGUUGGGGAUCUUGUCUACCUCUAAGCCCUGGCCUCAUGAUGUUAAUGCCACGCUGGCCUGCAGUCGUGAGUAGGAUUUCCAGAGGCCUGAAAGCCUUUCCUGUUUGACUCCUGGAGGGAAAAGGCAAUGGGAAGAAAGGUGAUGUGCCCUUUUCCCAGUUUUUCUGGGUGGAGGCUGACACGCAGACAGGGCUGUCUGUUCACCCAGGCUCCUGCCCAGGUGUUGGUAGCGCUUUCAUCUUCCAGGGGCCAGUAGAUGCCGAGGAAGCUCUGAGGUCCUCCCUAGGCCGCAGGUCUCCUCACAAACCCAGAGGUAACAAGGCACACACAUGGCCCCGUGGCCGAGGCAAGCAGUUCAUGGUGUCCUAAGCCAAGAGCACUAGCGAUUUACCCUCAGUGUCUAGAGCUGGUGGGUGGGGGCAGGGCAGGCCAUAUGGUCUUGACCUUAUUCUGAGGCAUUCUGGGUCUCAAUACCUGUGAGGAACAGGAGCGGAGCAAGGAGAAAGGAAAGUGCAUUUGCGGGAGCCCUGUGUGUUGAAAGAGUCCAGUGCAGGAAGGUGUGUUUCUGCCCUUGGGCUGCAGAACUGGGCCUCAGCCCCAGCUCUCAGGAGCCCCAGGCUGUGUGUGCGGUGAGCUCGCCAGAUAUAAGGGACAUCCGUGGGCCAGGGCUCUAUGCUCAGGCAGAGGUGUUAAGGCAGAGAUAACCAGGCCAGAGUUAGCCCUGCUUCUCAUCUACUCCAGGAUUCCUGUCAUCUAAAUGUGAGAAGCCUUUCAUCCUGGACCCCUCAGCUUUGAGAAACUGCCGCCCCUCCUUCCACCAGCAUGCCCAGGAAGGGGACCAAAGGCCCUGCUGAAAGAGAAAGGGAUCCCUUCUCAGUCUCCCCCAACCCCCAUCCUCCCAAAACCUCCAUGCUGGGCGCAGAGGGUCCCUCAUCUGUUGCCGUUGCUGCGGCUCAGCCGGCUGUGCAGCCUGUGUGAGAGGAGCCCAGGCUGUGGGCAGGGCUGGAGACGGGAGAAGGGGAGGAUGGCUGCCUGCAGCCACAAAGGUGGGUGUGUCUGAGGAGGAGAGAAAUGAGGCCUCCCUACAUGCUGCCUCCUUUAACUGCCGCCCUUUUAACCUUCUAAAAAGUGCCCUGGGCUGAGGCUGGCUGCAGUGCAGUGUGGUCUCCGACAGGGCUGUCAGCGUUCUCAGCCAACUCCAUCUCUGUCUCCCUGAACAGACUUCUGCCUGCCUCAGCUACACUCUGGAGAGAGCAGUAGUCUCCUGGUGUAAGACAAGCAGCCUGCAACUGUGUCCACCAGGGCCACCUCAUGGUUGGCAUCUGGGCCAUCUCUCCAGGCUCCAGCACCGGGAAGCCACCAAUCCCACUGAGCCCCGCAGGAUACAUUCAAGCCCCCAACCUCCUUAGCUCUUCUCUCUCCAAGCCCCAGUUUGCAUAGUUGGUUCCAGGCCCUGGCAGGCCCCUUGCUGGAUGAGCUGCUUGCUCGUGCCAGGCUGCACAUUACUGAAUGUGCAGCUAUCCUGUGGGCCGCUGGGCUCUUGGCCAUCCCCACCCAAGGAUGCUGACAGCCCCUAACCUCCUAGUCAGAGCCGCCCACCCGCACUGCCCCACCUCACUCCCCAGCAAGAACCCUCACAGCAGAAGGGGGCUGGAACUGUUUGUGUGUGCAGACCUCUCCAAGCCAGGCACUAGGCAAGAUAGAGCAGUCUAGCUGAAUGCCCUGUGCUCUGGGGCCACCCCUCCCCUGAGGUGCCACUGAGCCCAACACAAGCAAGGGGCUUAACCACAGGCCCUGCUCAUGGGGGAGAACUGGCAGGUGGACACAGGAGGGAAAAUCAAUGCAUGUCAACAGGGUUGGAAAUUUAUUUUACAGCUUGGAAGAGGGUAUUUACAAAGAGGCAAGGAGGGAAAUGAAAAGCUGUAAACACAUAUCUGCCAUCUUCCUCCGUGGUCCAUAUCUUGAUUAUAAAAAGAAUCCUUCCCAAGCUCCAGUGGAGAGCAAGCUGCAGGGGCCUGGAUGGCAGACACCUGCUGGAGAGAGGGCACAGAGAGGGACCCUGCAGGCCUGUGGACAAUCACAAUCACUAAUGUAACUGCAGCAACUAUAGUAACCCACAUUUGCUGACUGGAAGCUUUAAGCACACGGUGAUGCACUCUACACGCAUUAUUUAAUUCAAUUCUUACCAGCAUGGUAUGAAACAGACAUUGUUAUCCUCAUAUGCAGGAAACUGAGGCACAGAGAUAUUGAGUAACUUGCCCAAAGCCUCCCAGGUGGCAGGGGGCUGGAGCCAAGUUCUUAUCCACGUCCCCAGACUGUGUCCUCUACCUAAGCAGACACUGCGCCUCCCUCUUUCUCUGGCCCUCGAGGUGGUAGGUGGGGGCAGGCGGAGUGUCCUCCCUUCUCCUCCCCGCCAGCCCAGGUGAGACUCUGCCCCGAGUCCAGUCCUACUCCCUGGAGGCCGCUUGGGUGGUUGGGUUAGGACGCGGUGUGUGGCUGCAGUCAGGGCCCAAUGAAAGUGCUUUGCUAAUCCCCCAAGUGAGCAGCAUCGUGAGGCUCUGAGUGUACAGAGCAGGGCUGGCUGCUGAGCACACCAGAGGUCCAGGCUGUAGAUUCUGCUCCUUUUGUAGCAGGGAAGUGCCAGGGCUACCUGGAGGCCGAACUGGCAGUGGAUCCCAGGCAACCUCUUCCAAACACAGACACACACACACAGCACUGCCCUCACUGACGUUGCCAGAUCCCACUUGGGCUCUCCACAGUGGCCCCCCUACCAGGGGCCAAAGGGGGCUUCCCUUGUGGUCUCUGCUUGGCCAGCUGUCCCCACUGCCAUCCAGCCUGAAAGAGGCUGGAGAAAGUCAAGCCCAGGGAUGUCACUCCUGGCCUCCCACUGGGGCUCCCACCUGCCUGGGCUUCCCCAGCUCCCCCCCCCCUCAGGCUCACAUAAGCCCUGUGUCCUCAGGGUUACACCCCCUCCCCAGGGAAUGGGGGAGCCAGGACCGGAGCUGAGCAAAGGGACUGAUGUGUGAAAGAGGCCUCCGUCCGGUCUGUUCCCUGAAGGCCCUGCCUUGCUAGGCAUGGGCGGCCUCCAGGGAGGAAGGACCUGUACCCAGGAAGAGGACAGCCCACAGAGAGGGAGGUCCUCAUGCCCUGCCCCCGGGUGCCACCUGGUGCCUGUGAGAGAGUCCCCCUCUGCCUCCAUCCUCUGCCCCUCCACCAGCGUCAGCACCCAUUCACAGCUCCCCGGAGCCUUUCUCUGCUGCACCGGCCUUUGCCCAGGGGCCGUAGCAUCCCACUGUGGGAUGCAGGCGCAGGGUGUCGGCAGGGUCAGCUGCCACAGAGAGGCUCCCUCGCUCUGCAUGGCCUGGCCUGGACAUGGGGUAACGUUUGCAGGCAGCCAUGUUCCUCCCUCUUCACAGAGACUGGAACAACUCUUCUCUGGGUCUCUGUGCAUACACACCCACAUAACCCAAGUUGCUUCUCCCUAACAAGGUCAGCCACCUCUCUGCCCUCUCUGACACCUUUGAAUCUUGCCAGGCUCCAUAUAGAGAGGGGGCAACACAAGGACGUAGCUUUCUCAUUCCCUCACCUAUUUCCUGAGAGCUGAGGCUCCUCCCUUUUAGUUGUUGCUCAUUCUCUUGUCCCCCUACGAGUUAUGGGUUGUCCAUCCUGGCCCGUGGCAUUGAGGGACAUGUGGGGUAGCAGGUCCCUUUUCCAGCGAAAGCGAGCAGGGAAGGGGUGGACACAGCCAGUGGUGGGCUUUGGGAGCCAGUCGCAGUGCCCGCUGGAAUUGUCAGCGCCUCCGCCCUGGGGCCUGCACACUUGGGACCAGUGGCGUCCUCCUCUUCCUUGGUUUUGCCCUGAGUAAGUUGGGGAGACCAACACCCAUGUCCCAGGUGCACAAAGUCUCUGGAGAAUAUGAGGUCACAGUAAGAUGAUCAUCUCUCUGGGUUCAGCCACAUACCUGCCAGCUGCUACUCAUCCUCGUUUAGAGCUACCUUUUUCCCACCAGCCAGAAUCUACAUACCUGGACUAAGUGGGGAGGCUGCUGGGAUGCCCCUUAGUCCCCUGUCACAAAUCCCCCAGCUCACUCUUCUGCGGCCCCAGCAGGUGUCUGGUGGACUUGGCCCACAAGUCCCACCUCAGCUGCAGGGAAAAAAAAAGGAAAAAAAAAACAAUGCCAACAGCCCAGCGUCCGUGAGCAACCCAACAGUAACAAAGCAUGUGUUCGGGAUGGAGGAAG